GUUCAGUCGGUAGAACGGCGGACUGUUAAUCCGUAUGUCACUGGUUCGAGUCCAGUCAGAGGAGCCA
rnacentral:tRNA from 18 species